rnacentral:rRNA from 1 species
UACAGAGGGUGCAAGCGUUGUUCGGAAUUACUGGGCGUAAAGCGCACGUAGGCGGAUUGGAAAGUUGGGGGUGAAAUCCCGGGGCUCAACCCCGGAACUGCCUUCAAAACUCCCAGUCUGGAGGUCGAGAGAGGUGAGUGGAAUUCCGAGUGUAGAGGUGAAAUUCGUAGAUAUCGAGAGGAACACCGGUGGCGAAGGCGGCCUUCUGGACAGCAACUGACGCUGAGACGCGAAAGCGUGGGGAGCAAACAGG